rnacentral:rRNA from 1 species
UGCGUAGGCGGGUUUCUAAGUCAGACGUGAAAUCCCGGGGCUCAACCUCGGAACAGCAUUUGAAACUACAUCUCUCGAGGGUAGGCGGAGGAAACGGAAUUCCACAAGUAGCGGUGAAAUGCGUAGAUAUGUGGAAGAGCACCGGUGGCGAAGGCGGUUUUCUAGCUUAUUCCUGACGCUAAAGCGCGAAAGCAAGGGGAUCAAACA